GAUGAACGCUGGCGGCGUGCCUAAUACAUGCAAGUCGAGCGAACGGACGAGAAGCUUGCUUCUCUGAUGUUAGCGGCGGACGGGUGAGUAACACGUGGAUAACCUACCUGUAAGACUGGGAUAACUUCGGGAAACCGGAGCUAAUACCGGAUAAUAUUUUGAACCGCAUGGUUCAAAAGUGAAAGACGGUCUUGCCGUCACUUAUAGAUGGAUCCGCGCUGCAUUAGCUAGUUGGUAAGGUAACGGCUUACCAAGGCAACGAUGCAUAGCCGACCUGAGAGGGUGAUCGGCCACACUGGAACUGAGACACGGUCCAGACUCCUACGGGAGGCAGCAGUAGGGAAUCUUCCGCAAUGGGCGAAAGCCUGACGGAGCAACGCCGCGUGAGUGAUGAAGGUCUUCGGAUCGUAAAACUCUGUUAUUAGGGAAGAACAUAUGUGUAAGUAACUGUGCACAUCUUGACGGUACCUAAUCAGAAAGCCACGGCUAACUACGUGCCAGCAGCCGCGGUAAUACGUAGGUGGCAAGCGUUAUCCGGAAUUAUUGGGCGUAAAGCGCGCGUAGGCGGUUUUUUAAGUCUGAUGUGAAAGCCUACGGCUCAACCGUGGAGGGUCAUUGGAAACUGGAAAACUUGAGUGCAGAAGAGGAAAGUGGAAUUCCAUGUGUAGCGGUGAAAUGCGCAGAGAUAUGGAGGAACACCAGUGGCGAAGGCGACUUUCUGGUCUGUAACUGACGCUGAUGUGCGAAAGCGUGGGGAUCAAACAGGAUUAGAUACCCUGGUAGUCCACGCCGUAAACGAUGAGUGCUAAGUGUUAGGGGGUUUCCGCCCCUUAGUGCUGCAGCUAACGCAUUAAGCACUCCGCCUGGGGAGUACGACCGCAAGGUUGAAACUCAAAGGAAUUGACGGGGACCCGCACAAGCGGUGGAGCAUGUGGUUUAAUUCGAAGCAACGCGAAGAACCUUACCAAAUCUUGACAUCCUUUGACAACUCUAGAGAUAGAGCUUUCCCCUUCGGGGGACAAAGUGACAGGUGGUGCAUGGUUGUCGUCAGCUCGUGUCGUGAGAUGUUGGGUUAAGUCCCGCAACGAGCGCAACCCUUAAGCUUAGUUGCCAUCAUUAAGUUGGGCACUCUAAGUUGACUGCCGGUGACAAACCGGAGGAAGGUGGGGAUGACGUCAAAUCAUCAUGCCCCUUAUGAUUUGGGCUACACACGUGCUACAAUGGACAAUACAAAGGGCAGCGAAACCGUGAGGUCAAGCAAAUCCCAUAAAGUUGUUCUCAGUUCGGAUUGUAGUCUGCAACUCGACUACAUGAAGCUGGAAUCGCUAGUAAUCGUAGAUCAGCAUGCUACGGUGAAUACGUUCCCGGGUCU
rnacentral:rRNA from 1 species